rnacentral:rRNA from 1 species
GACAGAGGGUGCAAACGUUGUUCGGAAUUACUGGGCGUAAAGCGCGUGUAGGCGGCCCUGCAAGUCGGGUGUGAAAUCCCAUGGCUCAACCAUGGAAGUGCACUCGAAACUGCAGGGCUAGAGUCCUGGAGAGGAAGGUGGAAUGCUUGGUGUAGCGGUGAAAUGCGCAGAUAUCAGGAGGAACACCGGUGGCGAAGGCGGGUCUCUGGGCAGUAACUGACGCUGAGGAGCGAAAGCGUGGGGAGCGAACAGG